rnacentral:piRNA from 1 species
UCGCGCUCUCCCCUGACUUUAGCGG